AUGGACGUGCCCCCGUGUCCUGCAGCCUCCGGAGAGGCCGUGUCUGACGUCCUGCUCCUGGUGCGAGGUGUCUGUGUCACAGGAGCCACGCAGGGACCUUUGAGGACGUGCACGCACAGUUCUCCGCAAGAAUGGCAGCGUCUGGACCUUGGCCAGCAGGGCCUCUCCUGGGGCUGCUGCUGGGCCAUUUCAGGAGCUUGGCUUCGUGGGGUAAGGGCUGUGCCAUUGGCCUCCAGAACCUGUUUGGUGCCUGGCUGGCCCUGGAACCUAGAGGCCAGGCUGAGGGGGCUGGGAACCUGGGUUCUUGUCCUGGGUGCUGUAAAGGGGCGAUCCUGGGCUGACUCUGGCCAAGGGCAUUUCUCCAUGCCCCCCUGGAGGCAGCCCCAUCUUCCUCCGUCAGACCUUUCCACAGUUACCUUUCAAGCUGUGGGAACUUCCGUGGACCUUUCUCAACAGCAGGGGUGUGCGGGGAGCCCAUCCGGCUUCCCGGGAUGCCUCCGUUCCCUUCUCCAGUUCCGUUGUCUCUGCUUCGGGGUGACUUCUCUGGAGGACCGCCGUGGGCUGGCCUGAGCCCUGGCACGCUUGCUCGUUGUGUGCAAAGGAAACAGUACCUUUUCUGUCUUUGGAGAAGGGUUCCAUGGCCCCAGACCAGACCUCGUCUCUCCUGCAACAGUGAGCUGAGCCAUGGGUUGAGGAGAGUGAGACAGGAGUCUCGGGAAGCCCAGAGGAGUUGCUGCCCAGGGCAUCCGCUGAUGGCUUUUUGCUCUCGCAGUGGAGCAGUGGGUGUGCAGCUGCUUUGUGAGCUGGGCUGCAGGACGCCACGGGUGCAGCGGCCGCGUUCCUGCACCGAGUGCUUCCCUGGGGAGUACCAAGCCCGAGGGAUGGUGUGAGGCGGGACAGGAGGGCAGUGUGGCCUGUAGUUCGGGUGGGGAGCGGGAGAUGCUGGCUGGUGUGGAUCCCCAGGUCAGAGACCCAGUUGGAAGGAUGCUUACGGCCUGGAGGGUGAGUGGCCCAGAACCUGGCAGGGCUGGCUGCACAGCUUCCGGGCCCCGGGACCCCCUGCCAGGGCCUUGCUACUGGGACGCCCCAGCCCCCUGCACUGUCCCAGAGCCUGCCCGCUGGGGCCCUCGGAGCUCACCUGGCUAUGAGGCAACGGUGGGGGACGCUGGACUCGAUUUUCCGUUUUCUGCCGUUUGCAGUUUUAGCUCCUCUGUCCCUCCUGUGUCACUUUGCUGGAGUGAGUCCCUUGUUCAACUGACUUGAGCCGAGGGGACAGGCUUUCCUCUGGUAGCCUCCCUCCUCGCCCCUGAGGCCCUCCAGCCUGUGCCCCGUGACCCCCCGCGACCCCCUGCGGCCAGCACCUGUGUCACUUGAGAGCACUUCAGAGGGUCAGGAAAGCCGCCUUCGUUGGCCAGAGCUCGCGGCCAGAGCUGUGCUCCGCAAACCCUCCGCGAGCAGCCCUGGCUGCGUGGCUGCUCUUCUCCCGGCGCUGCGUCCCACGGGGCCUCUCCAGCCGCGCUCGGGCCGGGGCGUGUUUGUUCCCGGUCGCGAACAAGGGCCGUUGGGGACGGUGGUCUCCCGGCGUCCUGUGGCCGGACCCUGGUUCUCGGUGACAUGGGCCUGCGUGGGGUCUACUGUCCUUGGGCCUCGCCCCCGCCUCUGCUGUCAGGAGCACUGCUGAGCCCAGAGUCUGCCCACGGUCUGUUUGCGACUGUGUCCCGCAGCCCCAGCCCUGCUCACUGCUCGCUCUCCGAAGUGUGUACGUGAGUAAAUAAAUAAACACGUUCAUUCUUUUAUUCAUUCAUUCGAAAAUGGGGGCUCC
rnacentral:lncRNA from 1 species